AUUGAACGCUGGCGGCAUGCCUUACACAUGCAAGUCGAACGGCAGCACGGGAGCAAUCCUGGUGGCGAGUGGCGAACGGGUGAGUAAUAUAUCGGAACGUGCCCAGUCGUGGGGAUAACGUAGCGAAAGCUACGCUAAUACCGCAUACAAUCUAUGGAUGAAAGCGGGGGAUCGCAAGACCUCGCGCGAUUGGAGCGGCCGAUAUCAGAUUAGGUAGUUGGUGAGGUAAAGGCUCACCAAGCCGACGAUCUGUAGCUGGUCUGAGAGGACGACCAGCCACACUGGGACUGAGACACGGCCCAGACUCCUACGGGAGGCAGCAGUGGGGGAAUUUUGGACAAUGGGCGCAAGCCUGAUCCAGCAAUGCCGCGUGCAGGAUGAAGGCCUCGG
rnacentral:rRNA from 1 species